GACGAACGCUGGCGGCGUGCUUAACACAUGCAAGUCGAACGGAAAGGCCCUGCUUGCAGGGUGCUCGAGUGGCGAACGGGUGAGUAACACGUGGGUGAUCUGCCCCUUACUUUGGGAUAAGCCUGGGAAACUGGGUCUAAUACUGGAUAGGACCAUGCUGUAGGUGGUGUGGUGGAAAGAUUAGUUUCGGUAAGGGAUGAGCUCGCGGCCUAUCAGCUUGUUGGUGGGGUAAUGGCCUACCAAGGCGUCGGCGGGUAGCCGGCCUGAGAGGGUGGACGGCCACAUUGGGACUGAGAUACGGCCCAGACUCCUACGGGAGGCAGCAGUGGGGAAUAUUGCACAAUGGGCGCAAGCCUGAUGCAGAGACGCCGCGUGGGGGAUGACGGCCUUCGGGUUGUAAACUCCUUUCAGCCAUGACGAAGCCCUUGUGGUGACGGUAGUGGUAGAAGAAGCACCGGCUAACUACGUG
rnacentral:rRNA from 1 species